rnacentral:rRNA from 1 species
GACGAACGCUGGCGGCGUGCUUAACACAUGCAAGUCGAACGGAAAGGCCUGCUUUCCCUUGUGGAUUGCGGGUACUCGAGUGGCGAACGGGUGAGUAACACGUGAGUGAUCUGCCCCCAACUUGGGUAUAAGCCUGGGAAACUGGGUCUAAUUCCCGAUAGGACUGCAGGGUGGUGCCUGUGGUGGAAAACGAUUUUCUAGUGGUUGGGGAUGAGCUCGCGGCCUAUCAGCUUGUUGGUGGGAUAAUGGCCUACCAAGGCGGCGACGGGUAGCCGGCCUGAGAGGGUGGACGGCCACAUUGGGACUGAGAUACGGCCCAGACUCCUACGGGAGGCAGCAGUGGGGAAUAUUGCACAAUGGGCGGAAGCCUGAUGCAGCGACGCCGCGUGGGGGAUGACGGCCUUCGGGUUGUAAACUCCUUUCGACCGCGAGGAAGCCACCUGGUUGGAAGGGUGGUGACGGUAGUGGUAGAAGAAGCACCGGCUAACUACGUG